UGACAUUAUAAUGAGAAAUAUAUGGUUUUGUCACAAUGUGAUUUUUGCCUAGUGUUCUAAAUGUCAAAGUGAAGAAAUUCAACCAAGCGCGGGUAAACAGCGGGAGUUACUAUGACUCUCUUAAGGUAGCCAAAUGCCUCAUCAUCUAAUUAGUGAUGCACAUGAAUGGAUUAACGA
rnacentral:ncRNA from 1 species